rnacentral:rRNA from 1 species
AUGUGUGAUGUUACUACUUAUGUUACUUUCAUUGUGGGUAGUCUUAAAGUUCGCGUAAUCUUCAUUACGACUUGCCAUAAUGCUACAUGCAGAUGUAUUAUUGAUAGGCUAGCCUGCUACCCGCGUGAGCAUGCAGCACGUACUAGCAGCUACAUGCGGUGCAAAGCACACACACAAAAAGAUGAAAUACAUAUGAAACUAGAGCAGCCCCUUCGCAGAGCAGCACAGGGGAUAAGCUUUUCAGAAUUUGUGCAUGAAGAUCAUGGCCAUGGCCAGCAGGUCCACAAACCCCAGGAUGAUUCUCUUCAAGAAAUAAGGCGUGGCGAUGGACCAAUGCGUGGGAAAUCAAAUUUCCCCAACGUGCUUAAGUACUGUAUGUACUUGUUCUCCCAUCUCGAGAAACAGCAUCCUCCAUGCUGCAAUCUGCAAACGAAAAAGAAACUAUUAGCUAGAAGAUGGAUGGAAAGGAUAUUGAAAAACUUACUCCAUGCCAACCGCACUCUUAGAAAUGCUUAUGUUGCAUUCGAGGCAACGAAUGAGAGGGAGCGGAGGCAACUGGUUCGAGGUGUGUGUGUGAUGCAGGUGGUUUAG